AUGCACAGAAAUGAGAUAAAAACAUAAAACUCUCUUGCUGGAAGGUUGCAACGUGAUGCUACUUUAAUUUCUAGAAUUCAGAAUAACACUCCUCAAGAAUCCAAAAACAGAGAGAGACAAAGCAGGAUGCUCCCUAAGGCAGUGAGGCCCAAUAUACCCACCUUGCUCUAGGCUGACUGAUCACACACUCCCCUCUAGAGCCCCUUAGUCUGCAAACAGGAUCAGGAAAAAAACAUUCUUAAAGUGAUAGCUUGCAAUGCAAACACAGUCCUCAAUACACCACACAAACCCAAGAGCAUUUUUAGGGAUCCAACCACCCUUGCUUUAUGGAUACCCAAAUUCUACCUAGGGAGAGGAAACUUCCUCUGAAGGUGAGUUAUCCUGCAUGUGUAACCGACCAGUCAGAGCAAGACAUGAGUCUAUUACAGCCCAGCCACUUUAGCUCUAUGGACCUCAUCACCACAGUGUCAGCUGCCUCACAAUCUUUAUGAGUCCCUGUAUUAAUCCCCUUCCUUCAUAGGCCAUGGGGAGAACAGGAUUGCCUGCACUGCCUUCAACAUGCUCACAACACAUGCAGCUGUGCACUAAGACAAUGGCUAUAAUCAAAUAUCAUGCUUCAGGGUUACGGCCACUGAGGAGGCCAGGAAGGAAUAUUUGUCUCCAUGCACAGUUUGGCCAGAUGUAUUCUUCAUUUCCUCUAUGUCCCCCUUUCUCUGAAGCAUCAGGGAUUGUUCACAGCUAGAGACAGGACGUAUUAGUGCUCUGAGGCUGUCUGAGAAUGGCGUGCCACGUCCCCUUCAAGUUAUUAUACUAUGGUUAACUGAGAUCAGGGCCCCAUUGUGCCCAGCUGCUGCACAGACAUACAGUGCCUGAGAUCAGACAGAAAGUGAGAGACAGUCCCUGCCACAGAGAGUUUACCCUCUAAAUAGACAAUACAGAAGGAAGGAUUAUUUUUGUUCUUUUGUAGGUGGGGAACUGAGCCUCAGAGAGAGAGUUACUGCCCUGGCUCACUCAGUGCAUUAAAAGAAAGUAACUUGUGCUGGAGCUAAUUUGCUUAUUAUUGUUAUAUUUUGCAUGCAGUGUCAUUGCAGGGCCUGUCGCUCCAGACAUUGCACAGAUACUGGACCAGAAGGCAAAGCACUGCCCUAAGAACUGCAGUCUACAAAUACUGCUACAGAAAUGGGGAGGGAUUGGAAUGGCAUCAAAUAUAUUGGUCUAGCAGCUGUAAUUCCUGAUUGCCUCAUUCUGUGUUUUUUUCCAUUGGUUUAGGGCAGUCCAGGCUGUUUGGCUGAGUCCAGAGGGCUCAGGGGUUUAUGUGUGAUUGACCCAAGUAGAAUGGAAGGUCAAAUAAGGAACAGGAGCAGGUUUCUCUGGCCUACUGAGAAGGUCCAAGUUGUGCUUCCCUUCCCUGCUGAGUCCUGCCCCUGCUCCGACAGCUGGAGUAACUCCAUCAUGCACCACUGCAUGGCCCACGCCUUACAUCGAAACCGCCAAGAGCGUCACCGGAGGCUCCAGUGUUCUUGAGCAUGGGGCCUGCGCAGUCAACCGGCUGCAUCUUUGCCACCAAUAUGGGAAGAGCUUCAUCUCCAGGUCCAACCGGCUGGUGCACUGCCUCAGCCACAGAGGAGUGAGGCCCAACAAGUGCCCCCAGUGUGGGAAAAGCUUCAUCCGUCUCUCCAAGCUCAUCUGGCAUCAGUGCAUGAACACGGGCGAGUGCCCUGUCACAUACCAUGAGUGCUUCAUGUACCAUGAGAACUCUCGCUUUGCCCAGCACAGGAAAGUUCACGUGCCCUGAUGGCCCAGGCGGUGCAGGGUGGCCGGCAUGGGAUGGCACUCACUGCUCACAGACAUCAGACGCUGAGUAGCUCAGGGAGUAGCUGCAGUUCUGGGAGGGAGGAAGGGCUAAGGUGUAGCAACGUGGGGUGGUUCUGCUCUGUUGCUGGGAAGAGACACCACCAAGACCUGAUCCCAAGUGAUAGUCCAUGGUGGGAUUCUCCAGCCUACAUUAUGCAGGUCAGAUUGGACAGCCCUAAUGGCCCUUUUGGCCUUAACAUCUAUUAAUCUGUAACUCAGGGAAGAGAACGUCCCGCUGUGAUUCCUGCAUCCAGCCCUUAUCUCGUGAGUGAGCUAGUGCAGACCUGUUAGAUUUCUUUUGUACUCGCUUUCUGAGUUUUGAGAUGUUAGGAGUCACAGAUUCCAACCCUUCUUUCCAACCAUGAGGGCUAGAAAACUCCCUUUUUAAAAAUAAAUAAAUUGAAAUUUGCUUGUACUGAGCACAGCUACCAGCCGAGGCCUCUCAGGUAAGAUAGGGGAGGGAACACCUGGUUGGAGGGUCCCAGGGAGCUUAGGUAUGAGAUAGGCAUGUACUCAGUGGCAGAAAUGUAGAUGCCUCAGGGACUUUAACAGUGAGACUUCGGGUGCCUACAGGCAGCUACUGCACCGGGUGGGGGUGGAGGAUCUCAUUGGCGCCUACAUGUCGGCUUUGGGCCCUUAAAAUGGCAGUUAGGGGUCUUCUAAGUCCUUUUGUGGAUCUAUCUUUAGCCCCUAAAGCCUUGUCAACAUGCAUAACCUGUACCAUGUAUCAGAGGGGUAGCUGUGUUAGUCUGGAUCUGUUAAAGCAGCAAAGAAUCCUGUGGCACCUUAUAGACUAACAGACGUAUUGGAGCAUGAGCUUUUGUGGAUGAAUACCAUGCAUCUGACGAAGUGGGUAUUCACCCACGAAAGCUCAUGCUCCAAUACGUCUGUUAGUCUAUAAGAUGGCACAAGACUCUGCAACUUGUAUCAUGUUAACUAGAUGGGUUGGUUAGUGUGGUACAGCUGUUAGUUCAGUUACGUGAUAAUUUCAUUCAGUGUUAAGAAAUUGAUUGGGAGUUGAAAAAGCAGGAAAACUUGUCUUCCUCUUCCAAUCUAUGAAUAAAAAUGAGGUGUGAGAUGGUGAGAUCUAUUAGUUCUAACAAUUUGAAGCACAUGGUUACCAGAAACAAACAAUUCAAUUCACUAACUACAGACAAUACUGCACUUGUUAAAUAAUUCACUUAAUUUUCAAUGCAAAGCAGGUUAAAAUAGCCUCCCUUUAUUUUAUGUAUCCAGCACAUUUAAGAUUUUGUUUAACUAAUGAAAAACAAUUUUAAAAUGCUAUUUUUGUCCAUUUUAUUUGAAUUCCAAUUGCCAUCCAAAUGCAGCUUGACACAAAUCAUAUGUGAAUAACUAACCAUCUAGUAAAUAAGAAAAGUAUCAUUCAAAAUUUUCACAUAACAAAAUCUAAAAAUUAAAAUUUUGAAUUGUUAAGCUAUAUAACUGUUUAAAUAAAUGUGCAUAUAUAUAGUGUAUCCUGAUUAGCAAAAAAAUUACUGUAAAGGCUAUAUUUAAUUGCAAAUGAACAUGUUAUAACGGUUACCAAGCAAGGAGAAUCAACCCUUUUUUGGGAGGGAAAUAACUAAAGAGUACAAAAGAUUAAAACUGAUUAUUUAAA